AGGGUUUGAUCAUGGCUCAGAACGUACGCUGGCGGCACGCCUAACACAUGCAAGUCGAACGAAGUAGCAAUACUUAGUGGCAGACGGGUGAGUAACAUGUAGGUAUCUGCCCUUUGGCCUGGAAUAACACGAGGAAACUUGUGCUAAUACCGGAUAAGUCUUUACGGAGAAAGCUUUAUGCACCAUUGGAUGAGCCUGCACUUGAUUAGUUUGUUGGUGGGGUAAUGGCCUACCAAGACUGUGAUCAAUAGCUGAUUUGAGAGGAUGAUCAGCCACAUUGGGACUGAGACACGGCCCAAACUCCUACGGGAGGCAGCAGUGGGGAAUCUUGCACAAUGGAGGAAACUCUGAUGCAGCGAUGCCGCGUGAGUGAAGAAGGCCCUUGGGUUGUAAAGCUCUUUCGUCGGGGAAGAAAAUGACUGUACCCGAAUAAGAAGGUCCGGCUAACUUCGUGCCAGCAGCCGCGGUAAUACGAAGGGACCUAGCGUAGUUCGGAAUUACUGGGCUUAAAGAGUUCGUAGGUGGUUGAAAAAGUUGGUGGUGAAAUCCCAGAGCUUAACUCUGGAACUGCCAUCAAAACUUUUCAGCUAGAGUAUGAUAGAGGAAAGCAGAAUUUCUAGUGUAGAGGUGAAAUUCGUAGAUAUUAGAAAGAAUACCAAUUGCGAAGGCAGCUUUCUGGAUCAUUACUGACACUGAGGAACGAAAGCAUGGGUAGCGAAGAGGAUUAGAUACCCUCGUAGUCCAUGCCGUAAACGAUGUGUGUUAGACGUUGGAAAUUUAUUUUCAGUGUCGCAGCGAAAGCGAUAAACACACCGCCUGGGGAGUACGACCGCAAGGUUAAAACUCAAAUGAAUUGACGGGGACCCGCACAAGUAGUGGAGCAUGUGGUUUAAUUCGAAGAUACGCGCAGAACCUUACCAACACUUGACAUGUUCGUCGCGACUCUAAGAGAUUAGAGUUUUCGGUUCGGCCGGACGAAACACAGGUGCUGCAUGGCUGUCGUCAGCUCGUGUCGUGAGAUGUUGGGUUAAGUCCCGCAACGAGCGCAACCCUCACUUUUAGUUGCCAUCAUUAAGUUGGGCACUCUGAAAGAACUGCCAGUGAUAAGCUGGAGGAAGGUGGGGAUGACGUCAAGUCCUCAUGGCCCUUACGUGUUGGGCUACACACGUGCUACAAUGGUAUCUACAACAGGAAGCAAAACGGCAACGUUAAGCAAAUCCCGAAAAGAUACCUCAGUUCGGAUUGCACUCUGCAACUCGAGUGCAUGAAGCUGGAAUUACUAGUAAUCGUGGAUCAGCGUGCCACGGUGAAUGCGUUCCCGGGUCUUGUACACACCGCCCGUCACACCAUGGGAGUUGGUUCUACCUUAAGGCAAGGUUUUAAACCCUUGACCACGGUAUAGUCAGCGACUGGGGUGAAGUCGUAACAAGGUAGCCGUA
rnacentral:rRNA from 1 species